rnacentral:ncRNA from 1 species
CGAAUCGAUGAAGGAAGCCGAUAGCAAACCGCCAGCCUGACAAACAGGAAUCGGAUAUGAGGCACAAGGUCUGGGAGAGCUGUCAAAAUUCAGUUAACCCCGUAGCGACACGGAAAGGCGAUGUGUAGAUCCGACAGGUAGGGCGCGAAGCGCAUGUGUG